rnacentral:lncRNA from 1 species
UUUAUUUUUUAGGUCAGUACUAUCUAGUCUCAUUUUAUAGUGUAGUGAAUUUAUGUCUAGAUUGGUCAAGUCAUUCUCAAGAUAACAAAAACCUUUUGCUGAGGAUAUGAAAAUUAUAAAGCUUCACUUGGAGUGAAAAAUUAAUUAGAGUCAUAUGGCAAAUACUAGAACUAAGAAAACUUCUACUUAUACAUUAAUAAAAAAACAUUACAUGUCCUGUGCUUAAAUCGACACCUCUACAAAGUUAACUAAACCAGUCAUGUAAUGCAAAUCUGAGGCAUACUAUAAAUGUGUGCAGCUUCAACCUGAAAGAUAAUACUCAAAACAACAAUGAAUGUGUGUUUUUGUGUUUGUGAAGUAGGUGGUGAUCUGCUUAGUUUAGAAGCUGAGAGGACAGGGGGAGAGUGAGGCUAGGAAAUUGUAAUCGACCUGGAUUUUUAAUCAUAUAAUCUACCUUAUUUAUAAAAAAGGUUGAAAUUAUUAAAAAGGAAAAAAAACCCAACUGUAGCCUUUGAAUUCAAAACUAUAACUAGAUCGUGCUCGUGUGAAUAUUC